rnacentral:rRNA from 1 species
ANANGGNCGNGGGAUUGCCUNACUGAGGAUACCUUGUUACGACUUCACCCCAGUUAUUGAUUUCACCUUCGACGGACGCUUCCAAAAGGUUAGCAAUCCGGCUUCGGGCGCCCCCAACUUCCGUGGUGUGACGGGCGGUGUGUACAAGACCCGGGAACGCAUUCACCGCAGNAUUCUGAUCUGCGAUUACUAGUAACUCCAGNUUCAUGUAGGNGAGUNUCAGNCUACAAUCCGAACUGAGAAUGGCUUUAAGGGAUUAGNUCCGCCUCACGANUUGGGUGCCCUCUGUACCACCCAUUGUAGCACGUGUGUNGNCAUAAGNAUAAGGGGGAUGAUGAUUUGACGUCAUCCCCACCUNCCUCCAGGUUAUCCCUGG